AUUGAACGCUGGCGGCAGGCCUAACACAUGCAGGUCGAGCGGAUGACGGGAGCUUGCUCCUUGAUUCAGCGGCGGACGGGUGAGUAAUGCCUAGGAAUCUGCCUGGUAGUGGGGGACAACGUUUCGAAAGGAACGCUAAUACCGCAUACGUCCUACGGGAGAAAGCAGGGGACCUUCGGGCCUUGCGCUAUCAGAUGAGCCUAGGUCGGAUUAGCUAGUAGGUGAGGUAAUGGCUCACCUAGGCGACGAUCCGUAACUGGUCUGAGAGGAUGAUCAGUCACACUGGAACUGAGACACGGUCCAGACUCCUACGGGAGGCAGCAGUGGGGAAUAUUGGACAAUGGGCGAAAGCCUGAUCCAGCCAUGCCGCGUGUGUGAAGAAGGUCUUCGGAUUGUAGAGCACUUUAAGUUGGGAGGAAGGGCAGUAAGUUAAUACCUUGCUGUUUUGACGUUACCGACAGAAUAAGCACCGGCUAACUCUGUGCCAGCCGCCGCCGUAACAC
rnacentral:rRNA from 1 species